rnacentral:rRNA from 1 species
UUAGGAGCUCACUGGCUUCGGAGUCAUAGAAAAUCCGAAGUUAAGCAAGUUUGGGGUAGAGUAAUCCUAGGAUGGGUGACCCACUGGGAAGUGCUCGUGAGUUCAUAGA